rnacentral:rRNA from 1 species
UACGUAGGGCGCAAGCGUUGUCCGGAUUUAUUGGGCGUAAAGAGCGCGUAGGCGGCCGAGUAAGUCCGACGUGAAAUCUGGAGGCUCAACCUCCAGCGGUCGUUGGAAACUACUCGGCUAGAGUCCGGAAGAGGAGAGUGGAAUUCCUGGUGUAGCGGUGAAAUGCGCAGAUAUCAGGAAGAACACCGAUGGCGAAAGCAGCUCUCUGGGACGGUACUGACGCUGAGGCGCGAAAGCGUGGGGAGCGAACAGG